ensembl:lncRNA
GCGCCCGCUUGCCGAGACUAGUAAACACCUCACCUCACCCGGCUUCUCGGGCAUCCGCUGCCAGGGGAACAGAGGCCGCGGACCCCGGGGGGCGCCAGAAAGACGCGGGAGGAGGAGGCUGGGCGUCGGGACCGGCAUCUGUCGUCUCGGCAGGUCUCGCCUUGGCAGAGCAUCCCUGAAUCCUUCGUGCCAUGCAAAUGAGACUGGACACACCUUCAGAACUGGGUGUCAUCUCUUCUCUGUCUCUCUGAUUUCUCUGCAACCAGAGUAGCUGUCAGCAAACAGGAUGGAAUAUAGAGGACUGAAGGCCUCUGCCGAGGGUGUCUACACCUCGUAUCCUCCUUGAUCCUGGGGGCCAGG